rnacentral:rRNA from 1 species
AACGAACGCUGGCGGCAGGCUUAACACAUGCAAGUCGAACGCUCCGCAAGGAGAGUGGCAGACGGGUGAGUAACGCGUGGGAAUCUACCUAGUUCUACGGAACAACAGAGGGAAACUUCUGCUAAUACCGUAUACGCCCUAAGGGGGAAAGAUUUAUCGGAAUUAGAUGAGCCCGCGUAAGAUUAGCUAGUUGGUGGGGU